GAGUGAUGAGCCGACAGCUUUCCCGCAAGGGAGGAAGUUCCACCCAUCGCGAAAGCUUGAGAACCUAAGGUUCGGACGGGAACAGAAACGAGACUGGCUGAUUCAGAUGAGAAUGAAGCAAUGAGAUGGGUCAAACCAGGUGAAACGCGCCCGUUGCAAAAGCGAGAUGUGCGAUGCAAGGCUUUGAGCCGCUUAGUCCAAUGCUGUCUAAAACAAAAGGUGGGCUAUGGCUCAUCACUC
rnacentral:RNase_P_RNA from 1 species